CUAUACUGCAGUCGAGCGGGUUUAGUCCUUCGGGAUAAGCUAGCGGCGGACGGGUGAGUAACACGUAGGUAACCUGCCUUUAAGACUGGGAUAACUAUCGGAAACGAUAGCUAAGACCGGAUAACUGGUUUUCUCGCAUGAGAGAAUCAUAAAACACGGAGCAAUCUGUGGCUUANAGAUGGGCCUGCGGCGCAUUAGCUAGUUGGUGAGGUAACGGCUCACCAAGGCGACGAUGCGUAGCCGACCUGAGAGGGUGAACGGCCACACUGGGACUGAGACACGGCCCAGACUCCUACGGGAGGCAGCAGUAGGGAAUCUUCCGCAAUGGACGCAAGUCUGACGGAGCAACGCCGCGUGAGUGAUGAAGGUUUUCGGAUCGUAAAGCUCUGUUGCCCUAGACGAACAGCAAGAGGAGUAACUGCCUUUUGUGUGACGGUAUAGGAGAAGAAAGCCCCGGCUAACUACGUGCCAGCAGCCGCGGUAAUACGUAGGGGGCAAGCGUUGUCCGGAAUUAUUGGGCGUAAAGCGCGCGCAGGCGGUCAUUUAAGUCUGGUGUUUAAUCCUGGGGCUCAACCCCAGUUCGCAUCGGAAACUGGAUGACUUGAGUGUAAGAGAGGAAAGUGGAAUUCCACGUGUAGCGGUGAAAUGCGUAGAGAUGUGGAGGAACACCAGUGGCGAAGGCGACUUUCUGGCUUAUAACUGACGCUGAGGCGCGAAAGCGUGGGGAGCAACAGAUA
rnacentral:rRNA from 1 species